GUACUACAUUAAUAUAAUAUACCUGGCAUUUUUUUAAAAUUUUUUUUAGAAUACCUAUUCUCCAUUGCCAUGGAAAACGGCGAAAAGGUGAUCACUUUGUGCGCGUCCCCGACGCUGAUCCGCCGCACAGUACCGGAAGUCAGUAACCGGAAGUCCAAAUACAGCGUGGGAGCCAGAGCGGUGAUUAGUGAAACUGCCGGCUGGGUAAACGAGCAGGCAGAGAGAGAGAGCGAGAUGCACGGGGAGGCAGGCAAUCUGAAGGAACGGCUGGGUAAAGGAGCAGGGAGAGAGAGAAAUACAGGGGGAGGCAGGGAAUCUAACGGAACGGCUGGGUAAACGAGCAGACAGAGAGAGAGCGAGAUGCAUGGGGAGGCAGGCAAUCUAAAGGAACGGCUGGGUAAAGGAGCAGGGAGAGAGAGAGAAAUACAGGGGGAGGCAGGGAAUCUAACGGAACGGCUGGGUAAACGAGCAGGCAGAGAGAGAGCGAGAUGCACGGGGAGGCAGGCAAUCUAAAGGAACGGCUGGGUAAAGGAGCAGGGAGAGAGAGAAAUACAGGGGGAGGCAGGGAAUCUAACGGAACGGCUGGGUAAACGAGCAGGCAGAGAGAGAGCGAGAUGCACGGGGAUGCAGGCAAUCUAAAGGAACGGCUGGGUAAAGGAGCAGGGAGAGAGAGAAAUACAGGGGGAGGCAGGGAAUCUAACGGAACGGCUGGGUAAACGAGCAGGCAGAGAGAGAGCGAGAUGCACGGGGAGGCAGGCAAUCUAAAGGAACGGCUGGGUAAAGGAGCAGGGAGAGAGAGAAAUGCAGGGAAUCGAACAGAACAGCAAGAGAAGAUAGAAAUGGUGGGAGAAAGAGACAAAACCAAUGAGGAGUACAACACUGUGGGCUAAAGACCGGAAGUGACGCCACAAACCAGGAAGUCGGGUGCCGGAAGAGAGACACAGCAGCGAGCACGUAAGGGAGAGGAAGAGAACAAGCAAGAAGAUGGCGGAGACCCUGUGGACGUCGUGGGACAGUGCCGGUUUUAGUUUUUCUGAUGUCUUACCCAAACAGCAGGAAAGAUCAGCAUAUUGGAGAAAAGGCGACAGGGCGACCAUCCAUCCUGCGGCGCUUGAUUUCUCCUGGUUAUUAUACUGACAGCAUGUGAAGGAGCGCGGACUGGGAAGAGGAACAAGGGACACUAAGCAGCAGCGCAGGAGGAGGAGGUAGCAGCACCGGUUCGGCCUCGGCUCCCCCCCCCCGCAGGCUGCAUGUGCUCCCGUGUCUGCACAGUGUCUGGAGGGGCGCCGAAGCCCCGGGGCAACCCAAACUAGCAAGGGAAAAAAAUGAGCAAUUCUGAAGAAGCUUAAAUGGAAAUUUCUACAUCUCUGGAAGCACUAAAAGAAGAGAUAUUGAUCAGUAUUAAUAGCCAAGAUAUGUUUGAAAACUUCUAAUGGUAACGUAUGGGCUCAAUAAAUUUGUUAAACAUAUAUAUAAUAAACCAAUGGCAUUUAAGGCCUAGUAAUUUUUCGUACUAAUGGAACUCUGUUGUUAAGAAUUUGUGAUGAAAAGAGGGCUUGGUAGGCUUUUUUAGGCAGUACUAAACCUGGAUAAUAAAUUGUUUUUUAUUCCCUAUGAUAUUUUUAUCUUCACAGUCACUGUUUUUCCUACUUCCACCUUAAAGACUUAUCGCAAAAAGUAAAGACACACAACAGACACCAUUGAAACGCUUCAAAAGACUUUAUUUGUACCAAACAAAAAUCUGUAUUGGACAUUGUCACGCUUCAGUAUGUUUUUCUAAAUAAUUUUUUCACUAAUCUUUUAGGCAAGGGUUAAUAAUUGGAAAGUUCGUUUCCAUUAUAUUGUGUCACUUCCUGUCUAACACCUUUUAAGUAAUGAUGCACUGAUUGUCUCCACACUUGACAAAGAGCCUUCUAUGGUUCGAAACAUGUAGUGUUGGCAAAUAAACACUGAUGAUUUAGCAGUUAA